CGGCGGACGGGUGAGUAAUGCCUAGGAAUCUGCCUGGUAGUGGGGGACAACGUUCGAAGGAACGCUAAUACCGCAUACGUCCUACGGGAGAAGCAGGGACCUUCGGGCCUUGCGCUAUCAGAUGAGCCUAGGUCGGAUUAGCUAGUUGGUGAGGUAAUGGCUCACCAAGGCGACGAUCCGUAACUGGUCUGAGGGGAUGAUCAGCCACACUGGAACUGAGACACGGUCCAGACUCCUACGGGAGGCAGCAGGG
rnacentral:rRNA from 1 species